rnacentral:rRNA from 1 species
AACGUAGGAAGCGAGCGUUAUCCGGAUUUACUGGGCGUAAAGCGUGUGUAGGCGGUUUGAUAAGUUGGAUGUGAAAGCUCCUGGCUUAACUGGGAGAGGUCGUUCAAAACUAUCAGACUUGAGAGUGGUAGAGGGAGGUGGAAUUCCGGGUGUAGUGGUGAAAUGCGUAGAUAUCCGGAGGAACACCAGUGGCGAAAGCGGCCUCCUGGCCCAUUUCUGACGCUCAGACACGAAAGCUAAGGUAGCAAACGGG